GAACCUGAGAGUUUGAUCCUGGCUCAGAGCGAACGCUGGCGGCAUGCUUAACACAUGCAAGUCGCACGAACCUUUCGGGGUUAGUGGCGGACGGGUGAGUAACGCGUAGGAACCUAUC
rnacentral:rRNA from 1 species